UGUGGCUGUGUCGGUUCGACGCAUGGCCAUAACCGAGGCAUCGCUCCUGCCCCGACACCCAUCUCUCGCUGCUGCACACGGACAAGAGGGCGCAGACACCGUGUUCUAAUGAAUGCCCCAUUUCACUUCCAGCCUACAGCUACAGCUCUAGUUCAGCGCCACUGACAUCGCACUCAACCCAGCCUUACAGCGAAUCCCUGCUCUGCUGCCGAGCACCACCGUGCCUCUGCAGGACCCUGGAUGGAUGAAGCGUGUUUCCGUGAUGACGGUCCCUUCCAGGACAGCUUCCCGACCCACUGGGGAUAACAAGCACAUCCCAGGCUGCAGGGAGAGCAGUGAGCAGCAGCAAACCUCAAGAACAAGUUGAAGCCCUGUUAAUGUCUCGUCUUCUGUUUCCUCUACAAAUUGUGACCUUCAGUGUUUCUACCAAUCUUCUUAGAAGUUUUGUGUGUACAACGAUUAAACUCUCAAGAAGUUUAUCAUCAGUC